rnacentral:rRNA from 1 species
CAUGCGGCGAGCUAAUAAUGCAAGUCGAGCGAACAGAUUAGGAGCUUGCUCCUUUGACGUUAGCGGCGGACGGGUGAGUAACACGUGGAUAACCUACCUAUAAGACUGGGAUAACUUCGGGAAACCGGAGCUAAUACCGGAUAACAUAUUGAACCGCAUGGUUCAAUAUUGAAAGGCGGCUUUGCUGUCACUUAUAGAUGGAUCCGCGCCGUAUUAGCUAGUUGGUAAGGUAACGGCUUACCAAGGCAACGAUGCGUAACCGACCUGAGAGGGUGAUCGGCCACGCUGGAACUGACACACGGUCCAGACUCCUACGGGAGGCAACAAUAGGGAAUCUUCCGCAAUGGGCGAAAGCCUGACGGAGCAGCGCCGCGUGAGUGAUGAAGGUCUUCGGAUCGUAAAACUCUGUUAUCAGGGAAGAACAAAUGUGUAAGUAACUGUGCACUUCUUGACGGUACCUGAUCAGAAAGCCACGGCUAACUACGUGCCAGCAGCCGCGGUAAUACGUAGGUGGCAAGCGUUAUCCGGAAUUAUUGGGCGUAAAGCGCGCGUAGGCGGUUUUUUAAGUCUGAUGUGAAAGCCCACGGCUCAACCGUGGAG